GGCGUUUGGCUCCUCCCCAAGGAAAGUUCUUAGUUUCAACACUUCUGAUCUUUAAAUCCUCAAUACAGAUUCUGGCUUUGAUGCUUGCUGAUUUAUUGCUCUCUGAAGCACCACGUUGGUUCCUGCAGCCUCUCGCAGAGCCACCUCCUCUCCCAUGCAGGGAAGCCCGAGUGUUUCAUGCACAGGCCAAUCCCACGACCCCUGAGGAUGUCGGCACCGAUGGGAAUGCAUUGCAGCCCUCCCCAGCUGCAGUCCCCACAGGAGCACUCCCUGUGCACCUCAGAGGGUACAGGUGUGACCUUGCCCAUGAGAACUGGACCAGCACAUGGAUCCAUAGGCUGUGAGUUGCCACUGGGGACUGGAAGUACCACAACACAGAGAGAACAGGUAAUUUCAGUGUAAGAGUUAUGCAAAAAAACUGGGGGAAAGCAGUGUUUGUUUGAGAUUGAUCAGAACCAUCUUUUAUUUCAGUGUUUUCUGGAAGAG
rnacentral:lncRNA from 1 species